GAGAUACUCCCUCCGUUCGGAAUUACUUGUCGCGAAAAUUGAUGUAUCUAGAACUAAAAUACAUCUAAAUACAUCCAUUUCUGCGACAAGUAAUUCGAACAGAGGGGGUAUAAG
rfam:Triticum aestivum genome assembly, contig: Triticum_aestivum_CS42_TGACv1_scaffold_576851_7BL